GAUGAACGCUGGCGGCGUGCCUAAUACAUGCAAGUCGAGCGAACAGACGAGGAGCUUGCUCCUCUGACGUUAGCGGCGGACGGGUGAGUAACACGUGGAUAACCUACCUAUAAGACUGGGAUAACUUCGGGAAACCGGAGCUAAUACCGGAUAAUAUAUUGAACCGCAUGGUUCAAUAGUGAAAGACGGCUUUGCUGUCACUUAUAGAUGGAUCCGCGCCGCAUUAGCUAGUUGGUAAGGUAACGGCUUACCAAGGCAACGAGGCGUAGCCGACCUGAGAGGGUGAUCGGCCACACUGGAACGUGGACACGGUCCAGACUCCUACGGGAGGCAGCAGUAGGGAAUCUUCCGCAAUGGGCGAAAGCCUGACGGAGCAACGCCGCGUGAGUGAUGAAGGUCUUCGGAUCGUAAAACUCUGUUAUUAGGUAAGAACAAAUGUGUAAGUAACUAUGCACGUCUUGACGGUACCUAAUCAGAAAGCCACGGCUAACUACGUG
rnacentral:rRNA from 1 species